rnacentral:lncRNA from 1 species
UCUGUGACAGAGUGGAGUAGUGGCAGCAGGGACUGUAUGGGUCAAGAGCCAAAGGUAUUUAUUACCUGGUCCUUUGUGAAAAAGGUUUGCCAACCACAGGUCUAAGUUAAACCCGGUGACCCUGUGUCUUCAUUGCCCAGCGCCCCCUGCAGGUGGUGAGGGGUGGGAGCUUGCUUGCUUGUGGAUCGUGAGCAAAUUGUGCAGCAUCUCUGCAUCUCAGUUUCUGACCUGUCACUGUGAACACUCUAGGUACUUUCUUUCACUUCAUAUAAUUAAAUGCUGUUGUUAUCUUGAAACUGAGGAAAAGAAGGAACAUAGAUGUCCAGUAACCCACCCAGGACCACACAGCCUGAAAAUGGUGGCCUCUGAGUCUGGGCCUGGUGGGAGAGGGCAGGGGGAGGGCAGCUGUAUGGGUUCCUUUGGAUCUCGGAUCCUACUUGGUAUCCACAUCUCUGUUCCUGCCCAUUCACGUGUAGCACAGAGGGGAGGGGUCGAGCUUGUGGACUUAGGGUCCAGCUGCCUGUGCAGAAAUCCCAGUUCUGCUGACUGUCUCAGUGGAAAAUAACAUAGUAGUUGAUUGUCUGGGGAAGUGCCUGGUACCUAGUAAAUGCUCAGUACAGCCUUUGCUGAAGGGAAAAACAUAAUGGGGAGUUGCCUGGGGAGUCGGUUAUUAUAAAGGGCCUGAGAGGAGUAAACACCACAGUGUGGCAUCCAGUCUGGGGGCAGACCUGGGGCACUUGAGGGCUUUAUCUUGGUCAGCCUUGAUGAGGGGUGCUUUGUUAUGUCUGUUCUUCUGAUGGGGAGUCUGAGGCUGGGGAGGGGCUGGCAGACCAGUGGCCUCAGGCACUCCCCAGAGUGCUUAGCUGGUUCUCUGUGCCCACGUGAUGUUUGCAGCCUCACCCUAUGGCCAGUCCCAGCCCCGUAGCCAAGGACCCACCUUGCGGAAUGCAUGGUGAUUUUAACUCUCUGCAAAGAACUGGAAAGCCAGACCUGAGUAGCUCACCCAGGACCACAGGGAGAGUUUAAAACCGGGCCUGGAUUAGCGCUCCGAGCAGCCAGGUUUAUGGUCUGAGGCCAAGGCUACUCGCUCAGACCUCAUAUUUUUGGCCUAUGAAUUUCUAUUGAGUCAGUUAAAAAACAAAUGGAUCUAUUUAAGUAAAAAUGCUUAGAGGCAGGGGAUUUACUCAAUGACUUUUUUUUUUAAACUAUUGAAAUUAAUUAAAAAAUAAUUUUGAACAUGUAUGGCUAACACUUUGCCAGGAACAUGUCAUGUGUAAAAUUAUUCCUCUCUAUCAUGUAUUCAUAAAUCCCAACUGGCCAUCUGUUUUUAUAAGACCAUGUGGGGCCCACCUUCAGGGAUUUUUUUUUCUUUUUUUUUUUGGCCAAACAAGAUUGUAAUUUUUCCUUGGGGAAGAAAAUCCUGAUGGAAAUAUAUAUAUAUAUAUAUUAUGUAAUAUACACACACACACACACACACAUAUACACACACAUAUAUGGGUAUCUCUGUGUGUGUGUGUAUGUUUGUAUACAUACUAACCAUGUGUGAAUACACUCGUAUGUAUAUAUGAAUAUAGAUGUAUGGUAUACAUAUGAAUAUACAUGCAAAUUAUCCUGAAGUCAUUUCUAAGCUAGUUUGUACUGAGUGAUCAGAAAUUGCUGAAUGUCAAAGACAGUAACACUGGUUUAAAUACUGACCAUUUAAUCAUAACCUCCAAUUGACGUAUGGAUUGAUUUGAACUUUCAGGUCAUUUCUUUGUUUUAAACUUCUCACUUACUACAUAAGGAUUUGUAUUUGUUAAAGAAAUGCACUUCCAUCCCUUUAGCUGCAAAAGACAAACCCCACUAAUGUGAUGUGUUUCUUUCUAAUGUAUGUAUAUUUUUAUAUGUUCCAGGUUAAUACAUGAAAGUACAAUUUUAUCUUCUGUUGUGGUUUUAUUCCUUGAAAUUAUAUUGUAAGCGUUUCCCCAUUUGUUACAUGGUCUUUAUAUUGUUUUUGGUGGCCACAUACUAUUUCAUCCAUUGGCUAUUGAGGUUAAUGAACCACACUGCUAUAUUUGAACCUUGAGGUUGUUUCUCACUUUUCAGCAUUACUAAUAAAACACGGCCAUGAACAGCAAUGUGUAAAAAUUUUGCUCCUGAACACCCAGUCAAAGCAGGUGUCUCGUCUUAGUCUCCACCACACCAUCCUGGUCAUCUCCUUUCUGGCACACUCAUUAACCACAACUUCUCUUGCUUGCUUGUGUGCUGUCCUCUCAAAUGGAAAUGUUGAGGGGCAGCUUCCUGUGGACCUGACCCUUUCGGACAUCCUCAGCCAUCUUUACCUUGUAUGGGGCACCAGCCUGAACUCUGAGCCCCAUGGCCCGAACAUGUGGGAACUCUGCUCUAUAAGAUUCUGUAAAUCUCAGACUGCUCUAAAGUACAAAGUCUGUUAAUUUAAAAAAUUGUUUUUCCUAAAAAAAAAAAAAAA